rnacentral:rRNA from 1 species
GGAGGGUGCAAGCGUUACCCGGAAUCAUUGGGCGUAAAGCGUCCGCAGGCGGUUUUUAAGUCAAAUAUUAAAUCUCGGAGCCCAACUUCGAGGCCGUAUUCGAAACUGAAAAACUAGAGUUUUACAGAGGCAAGUAGAAUUCUGUGUGUAGGGGUAAAAUCCGUAGAUACACAGAGGAAUACCAAAAGCGAAGGCAGCUUGCUGGGUAAACACUGACGCUCAUGGACGAAAGCGUGGGUAGCGAACGGGAUUAGAUACCCCGGUAGUCCACGCCGUAAACGAUGGAUACUAGUUGUUGGAGGACUCGAACCCUUCAGUGACGACGCUAACGCAUUAAGUAUCCCGCCUGGGGAGUACGGUCGCAAGAUUA